rfam:Cricetulus griseus cell line CHO-K1, whole genome shotgun sequence.
UGGCUCAGUGGUUAAGAGUACUGGCUGCUCUUCCAGAGGACCUGGGUUCAAUUCCCAG